CCUUAGUCCAGCCUCCACCUUGUGGUUUGGUUUUGAAACCUAAUGUCAUCAGACAUUCUUUCAUAAAAUUUCCAUCAGUGAAAGACUUAAAGAUUAAUGCUGUCAGCUUUUUACAUUUCUUGAUGAUUCUGCACUUCUAUUUGUGAAAAUCAAUUUUUUGUCUUUAUAGGCUGAUCUAAAGUUUUUUUUGUUUUUUUUAUAUUCAUCCUUUCUUGCCUGCCCUUGCAUGCACUGCAUUUGGGAUAUGUUGUCUCA